CGCUGGCGGCGUGCUUAACACAUGCAAGUCGAACGGAAAGGCCCUGCUUUUGUGGGGUGCUCGAGUGGCGAACGGGUGAGUAACACGUGAGUAACCUGCCCUUGACUUUGGGAUAACUUCAGGAAACUGGGGCUAAUACCGGAUAGGAGCUCCUGCUGCAUGGUGGGGGUUGGAAAGUUUCGGCGGUUGGGGAUGGACUCGCGGCUUAUCAGCUUGUUGGUGGGGUAGUGGCUUACCAAGGCUUUGACGGGUAGCCGGCCUGAGAGGGUGACCGGCCACAUUGGGACUGAGAUACGGCCCAGACUCCUACGGGAGGCAGCAGUGGGGAAUAUUGCACAAUGGGCGGAAGCCUGAUGCAGCAACGCCGCGUGCGGGAUGACGGCCUUCGGGUUGUAAACCGCUUUCGCCUGUGACGAAGCGUGAGUGACGGUAAUGGGUAAAGAAGCACCGGCUAACUACGUGCCAGCAGCCGCGGUGAUACGUAGGGUGCGAGCGUUGUCCGGAUUUAUUGGGCGUAAAGGGCUCGUAGGUGGUUGAUCGCGUCGGAAGUGUAAUCUUGGGGCUUAACCCUGAGCGUGCUUUCGAUACGGGUUGACUUGAGGAAGGUAGGGGAGAAUGGAAUUCCUGGUGGAGCGGUGGAAUGCGCAGAUAUCAGGAGGAACACCAGUGGCGAAGGCGGUUCUCUGGGCCUUUCCUGACGCUGAGGAGCGAAAGCGUGGGGAGCGAACAGGCUUAGAUACCCUGGUAGUCCACGCUGUAAACGGUGGGUACUAGGUGUGGGGUCCAUUCCACGGGUUCCGUGCCGUAGCUAACGCUUUAAGUACCCCGCCUGGGGAGUACGGCCGCAAGGCUAAAACUCAAAGGAAUUGACGGGGCCCCGCACAAGCGGCGGAGCAUGCGGAUUAAUUCGAUGCAACGCGUAGAACCUUACCUGGGUUUGACAUGGAUCGGGAGUGCUCAGAGAUGGGUGUGCCUCUUUUGGGGUCGGUUCACAGGUGGUGCAUGGCUGUCGUCAGCUCGUGUCGUGAGAUGUUGGGUUAAGUCCCGCAACGAGCGCAACCCUUGUUCACUGUUGCCAGCACGUUAUGGUGGGGACUCAGUGGAGACCGCCGGGGUCAACUCGGAGGAAGGUGGGGAUGACGUCAGGUCAUCAUGCCCCUUAUGUCCAGGGCUUCACGCAUGCUACAAUGGCUGGUACAGAGAGUGGCGAGCCUGUGAGGGUGAGCGAAUCUCGGAAAGCCGGUCUCAGUUCGGAUUGGGGUCUGCAACUCGACCUCAUGAAGUCGGAGUCGCUAGUAAUCGCAGAUCAGCAACGCUGCGGUGAAUACGUUCCCGGGGCUUGUACACACCGCCCGUCAAGUCAUGAAAGUUGGUAACACCCGAAGCCGGUGGCCUAACCGUUGUGGGGGAGCCGUCGAAGGUGGGACUGGUGAUU
rnacentral:rRNA from 1 species